rnacentral:ncRNA from 1 species
CAAACCGAGCGCAGAAUGUGAUUCCCACAUCAUCACGAAUUGUAAAGACGUCACUCUAAGCAGUCUGUUCCUCCACCUAACUUUGGAGACAAGUUAGUUUUACCCUACUAAUAAUUUGUUGUUGCAAUAGUAAUCCUGCUCAGUACGAGAGGAACCGCAGGUUCAGACAUUUGGUGUAUGUGCUUGGCUGAGGAGCCAAUGGGGCGAAGCUACCAUCUGUGGGAUUAUGACUGAACGCCUCUAAGUCAGAAUCGUAACGAUACCAGUAGCGCCGCAUCGCUUCGGUCGGUCUCCGAUACCUGACUCCGGUCGGCGAGGAGAGCCUUCCGUGACUGGGCCGGGGCGUGGCCGGACGAUGGUCACCCCUCUCCGAUCGCGCACAGCAUGUUCGUGGAGAACGUGGUGCUAAAUGACUUGCAGACGACCUGAUUCAAGACAUUCUAUACAUUGAG